rnacentral:misc_RNA from 1 species
GCGAAUAUGGGGAUGGGGAUGGGCAUGGGCGGCUACGGCGGUGGCAUGAAUCCACCACCAAUGGGGAUGAUGGGUGGUUAUGGUGGUGGAGGCAUGAAUCAACCAGCCUCGAUGGGGAUGAACAUGGGCGGUUAUGGUGGGGGCAUGAAUCAACAACCAUACAUGGGGAUGAACAUGGGCAUGGGUCCCAUCGGAAUGACUCCGGCUGCUCCUGGCAUAUCCGGCUUUGGCUACAAUCCAAUGGCAGGCAUGAACAACUACAAUCCGCAGCAGCAGCAGCA